AGAGCGAACGCUGGCGGCAGGCCUAACACAUGCAAGUCGAGCGCUCGUAGCAAUACGAGAGCGGCAGACGGGAGAGUAACACGUGGGAACGUACCCUUUGGUUCGGAACAACACAGGGAAACUUGUGCUAAUACCGAAUAAGCCCUUACGGGGAAAGAUUUAUCGCCAAAGGAUCGGCCCGCGUCUGAUUAGCUAGUUGGUGGGGUAAUGGCUCACCAAGGCGACGAUCAGUAGCUGGUCUGAGAGGAUGACCAGCCUCAUUGGGACUGAGACACGGCCCAAACUCCUACGGGAGGCAGCAGUGGGGAAUAUUGGACAAUGGGCGCAAGCCUGAUCCAGCCAUGCCGCGUGGAUGAUGAAGGCCUUAGGGUUGUAAAGUCCUUUAACGGGAAGAUAAUGACGGUACCCGUAGAAUAAGCCCGGCUAACUUCGCGCCAGCAGCCGC
rnacentral:rRNA from 1 species